UAGGGUUUCCCAGCCAGAGCUGCAUGGACUCCACACUGCAUGUCUUUGGAAAACAGCAAUAAGCAGAAUAAAAAGGGCCAACAAUGUCAGAGGAAAUCCAAAUGCGAAGUGUUGCUCACAAUGAAGCACCAUGUGGUCAACUUCAGAACCAACAAGCUGAACAUCCUAUAGAAAAACCUUGCAGGUGCAGGUGUGGACGUUUGGACAAAUUGUUCAUGUGCACAGUCCUCAUGGCUGUUUCUGCAAUCAUUGCACUCUACGUGAUCAUUUUGCUCCUGCUUCAUUACCACAACUAAUUUUCAAGAAAUCAUCCACAAACGUUUAAGUAAAGUUCAAUAAACAUUUUGUUUUUCACUGUCU
ensembl:lncRNA